rnacentral:misc_RNA from 1 species
UAAUAAGUGUUUUAUGGCACUUUUUAAAUCCAUAUCCACCUUGUGUGCAAUGUCGGUCGAUCUUCUUCAUGGAGAUCGACCAAACAUCAACCUUUAUCUUUUAACUCUUUGUCUGAAAAAUAUUAUGAGUAAACAAUUCAAAAUA